rnacentral:rRNA from 1 species
CGAACGCUGGCGGCAGGCCUAAUACAUGCAAGUCGAACGGCUCUUCGGAGCAGUGGCGGACGGGUGAGUAACGCGUGGGAAUGUGCCCUUUGGUACGGAACAACACAGGGAAACUUGUGCUAAUACCGUAUGUGCCCUUCGGGGGAAAGAUUUAUCGCCAUUGGAGCAGCCCGCGUUGGACUAGGUAGUUGGUGAGGUAAAGGCUCACCAAGCCUACGAUCCAUAGCUGGUCUGACAGGAUGAUCAGCCACACUGGGACUGAGACACGGCCCAGACUCCGGCGGGAGGCAGCAGUAUGGAAUCUGGCGCAAUGGGCGGAAGCCUGACGCAGCCAUGGCGCGUGAAUGAUGGAGGUCUUAGUAUUGUAAUAUUCUUUCACCGGGGAAGAUAAUGACGGUACCCGGAGAAGAAGCCCCGGCUAACUUCGUGCCAGCCGCCGCCGUAA